rnacentral:rRNA from 1 species
UACGUAGGGGGCAAGCGUUGUCCGGAAUCAUUGGGCGUAAAGAGCGUGUAGGCGGCCCGGUAAGUCCGCUGUGAAAGUCCAGGGCUCAACCCUGGGAUGCCGGUGGAUACUGUCGGGCUCGAGUCCGGAAGAGGCGAGUGGAAUUCCUGGUGUAGCGGUGAAAUGCGCAGAUAUCAGGAGGAACACCAAUGGCGAAGGCAGCUCGCUGGGACGUGACUGACGCUGAGACGCGAAAGCGUGGAGAGCAAACAGG